rnacentral:rRNA from 1 species
GUAGGUGGCAAGCGUUGUCCGGAAUCAUUGGGCGUAAAGCGCGCGCAGGCGGUUCUUUAAGUCUGAUGUGAAAGCCCACGGCUCAACCGUGGAGGGUCAUUGGAAACUGGAGAACUUGAGUACAGAAGAGGAAAGCGGAAUUCCACGUGUAGCGGUGAAAUGCGUAGAGAUGUGGAGGAACACCAGUGGCGAAGGCGGCUUUCUGGUCUGUAACUGACGCUGAGGCGCGAAAGCGUGGGGGAGCAAACAGGAUUAGAUACCCUGGUAGUCCACGCCGUAAACGAUGAGUGCUAAGUGUUAGGGGGUUUUCCGCCCCUUAGUGCUGCAGCUAACGCAUUAAGCACUCCGCCUGGGAGUACGGCCGCAAGGCUG